rnacentral:rRNA from 1 species
UGGGGAAUAUUGCACAAUGGGCGAAAGCCUGAUGCAGCGACGCCGCGUGAGGGAUGACGGCCUUCGGGUUGUAAACCUCUUUCAGUAGGGACGAAGCGCAAGUGACGGUACCUGCAGAAGAAGCACCGGCUAACUACGUGCCAGCAGCCGCGGUAAUACGUAGGGUGCGAGCGUUGUCCGGAAUUACUGGGCGUAAAGAGCUCGUAGGCGGUUUGUCACGUCGUCUGUGAAAUCCUAGGGCUUAACCCUGGACGUGCAGGCGAUACGGGCUGACUUGAGUACUACAGGGGAGACUGGAAUUUCUGGUGUAGCGGUGGAAUGCACAGAUAUCAGGAAGAACACCGAUGGCGAAGGCAGGUCUCUGAGUAGUAACUGACGCUGAGGAGCGAAAGCAUGGGUAGCGAACAGG